UGUUCUGACACGGGGUGCUCCGCACGGGCGGGGCUGAGAACACACCCGGAAAACCUGCUCAGGUAAUGCUGACGAAGGGAUGUCAAAGUCGUGACCA
rnacentral:ncRNA from 2 species